rnacentral:rRNA from 1 species
GAUGAACGCUAGCGGCAGGCUUAACACAUGCAAGUCGAGGGGUAACAGGGGAAAGCUUGCUUUUUUGCUGACGACCGGCGCACGGGUGAGUAACGCGUAUAGAACCUACCUUUUACAGGGGAAUAGCCCAGAGAAAUUUGGAUUAAUACCCUAUAGUAUUAUUGAGUGGCAUCAUUUAAUAAUUAAACAUUUAUGGGUAAAAGAUGGCUAUGCGUUCUAUUAGCUAGAUGGUAAGGUAACGGCUUACCAUGGCAACGAUAGAUAGGGGUCCUGAGAGGGAGAUCCCCCACACUGGUACUGAGACACGGACCAGACUCCUACGGGAGGCAGCAGUGAGGAAUAUUGGACAAUGGAGGCAACUCUGAUCCAGCCAUGCCGCGUGCAGGAAGACGGCCCUAUGGGUUUUUAACUGCUUUUAUACGGGAAGAAACCCAACUACGUGUAGUUGGCUGACGGUACCGUAAGAAUAAGCACCGGCUAACUCCGUGCCAGCAGCCGCGGUAAUACGGAGGGUGCAAGCGUUAUCCGGAAUCAUUGGGUUUAAAGGGUCCGUAGGGCGGGCUAAUAAGUCAGGGGUGAAAUCCAACAGCUUAACUGUUGAACUGCCUUUGAUACUGUUAGUCUUGAAUUAUAUGGAAGUAGAUAGAAUGUGUAGUGUAGCGGUGAAAUGCUUAGAGAUUACACAGAAUACCGAUUGCGAAGGCAGUCUACUACGUAUAUAUG